GGAGUUUGAUCCUGGCUCAGGAUGAACGCUGGCGGCGUGCCUAAUACAUGCAAGUCGAACGCUUCACUUCGGUGAAGAGUGGCGAACGGGUGAGUAAUACAUAAGUAACCUGGCAUCUACAGGGGGAUAACUGAUGGAAACGUCAGCUAAGACCGCAUAGGUGUAGAGAUCGCAUGAACUCUAUAUGAAAAGUGCUACGGGACUGGUAGAUGAUGGACUUAUGGCGCAUUAGCUUGUUGGUAGGGUAACGGCCUACCAAGGCGACGAUGCGUAGCCGACCUGAGAGGGUGACCGGCCACACUGGGACUGAGACACGGCCCAGACUCCUACGGGAGGCAGCAGUAGGGAAUUUUCGGCAAUGGGGGAAACCCUGACCGAGCAACGCCGCGUGAAGGAAGAAGUAAUUCGUUAUGUAAACUUCUGUCAUAGAGGAAGAACGGUGGAUAUAGGGAAUGAUAUCCAAGUGACGGUACUCUAUAAGAAAGCCACGGCUAACUACGUGCCAGCAGCCGCGGUAAUACGUAGGUGGCGAGCGUUAUCCGGAAUUAUUGGGCGUAAAGAGGGAGCAGGCGGCACUAAGGGUCUGUGGUGAAAGAUCGAAGCUUAACUUCGGUAAGCCAUGGAAACCGUAGAGCUAGAGUGUGUGAGAGGAUCGUGGAAUUCCAUGUGUAGCGGUGAAAUGCGUAGAUAUAUGGAGGAACACCAGUGGCGAAGGCGACGAUCUGGCGCAUAACUGACGCUCAGUCCCGAAAGCGUGGGGAGCAAAUAGGAUUAGAUACCCUAGUAGUCCACGCCGUAAGCGAUGAGUACUAAGUGUUGGGGGUCAAACCUCAGUGCUGCAGUUAACGCAAUAAGUACUCCGCCUGAGUAGUACGUUCGCAAGAAUGAAACUCAAAGGAAUUGACGGGGGCCCGCACAAGCGGUGGAGCAUGUGGUUUAAUUCGAAGCAACGCGAAGAACCUUACCAGGUCUUGACAUCGAUCUAAAGGCUCCAGAGAUGGAGAGAUAGCUAUAGAGAAGACAGGUGGUGCAUGGUGUCGUCAGCUCGUGUCGUGAGAUGUUGGGUUAAGUCCCGCAAUGAGCGCAACCCCUGUUGCCAGUUGCCAGCAUUAAGUUGGGGACUCUGGCGAGACUGCCGGUGACAAGCCGGAGGAAGGCGGGGAUGACGUCAAAUCAUCAUGCCCCUUAUGACCUGGGCUACACACGUGCUACAAUGGACAGAGCAGAGGGAAGCGAAGCCGCGAGGUGGAGCGAAACCCAUAAAACUGUUCUCAGUUCGGACUGCAGUCUGCAACUCGACUGCACGAAGAUGGAAUCGCUAGUAAUCGCGAAUCAGCAUGUCGCGGUGAAUACGUUCUCGGGCCUUGUACACACCGCCCGUCACACCAUGAGAGUCGGUAACACCCGAAGCCGGUGGCCUAACCGCAAGGAAGGAGCUGUCUAAGGUGGGACUGAUGAUUGGGGUGAAGUCGGAACAUGGUAUCCCUACGGGAACGUGGGGAUG
rnacentral:rRNA from 1 species